UAGGGAAUCUUCCACAAUGGGCGCAAGCCUGAUGGAGCAACACCGCGUGAGUGAAGAGGGGUUUCGGCUCGUAAAGCUCUGUUGUUAAAGAAGAACACGUAUGAGAGUAACUGUUCAUACGUUGACGGUAUUUAACCAGAAAGUCACGGCUAACUACGUGCCAGCAGCCGCGGUAAUACGUAGGUGGCAAGCGUUAUCCGGAUUUAUUGGGCGUAAAGAGAGUGCAGGCGGUUUUCUAAGUCUGAUGUGAAAGCCUUCGGCUUAACCGGAGAAGUGCAUCGGAAACUGGAUAACUUGAGUGCAGAAGAGGGUAGUGGAACUCCAUGUGUAGCGGUGGAAUGCGUAGAUAUAUGGAAGAACACCAGUGGCGAAGGCGGCUACCUGGUCUGCAACUGACGCUGAGACUCGAAAGCAUGGGUAGCGAACAGGAUUAGAUACCCUGGUAGUCCAUGCCGUAAACGACGAGUGCUAGGUGUUGGAGGGUUUCCGCCCUUCAGUGCCGGAGCUAACGCAUUAAGCACUCCGCCUGGGGAGUACGACCGCAAGGUUG
rnacentral:rRNA from 1 species